rnacentral:rRNA from 1 species
AUGCAUUAUGACGUGGCUUGCACUGAAUGAGAUUUUAACACGAAGUGAGUGGCGGACGGGUGAGUAACACGUGGGUAACCUGCCCAGAAGCAGGGGAUAACACCUGGAAACAGAUGCUAAUACCGUAUAACAGAGAAAACCGCCUGGUUUUCUUUUAAAAGAUGGCUCUGCUAUCACUUCUGGAUGGACCCGCGGCGCAUUAGCUAGUUGGUGAGGUAACGGCUCACCAAGGCGAUGAUGCGUAGCCGACCUGAGAGGGUAAUCGGCCACAUUGGGACUGAGACACGGCCCAGACUCCUACGGGAGGCAGCAGUAGGGAAUCUUCCACAAUGGACGCAAGUCUGAUGGAGCAACGCCGCGUGAGUGAAGAAGGGUUUCGGCUCGUAAAGCUCUGUUGUUAAAGAAGAACGUGGGUGAGAGUAACUGUUCACCCAGUGACGGUAUUUAACCAGAAAGCCACGGCUAACUACGUGCCAGCAGCCGCGGUAAUACGUAGGUGGCAAGCGUUAUCCGGAUUUAUUGGGCGUAAAGCGAGCGCAGGCGGUCUUUUAAGUCUAAUGUGAAAGCCUUCGGCUCAACCGAAGAAGUGCAUUGGAAACUGGGAGACUUGAGUGCAGAAGAGGAUAGUGGAACUCCAUGUGUAGCGGUGAAAUGCGUAGAUAUAUGGAAGAACACCAGUGGCGAAGGCGGCUGUCUGGUCUGUAACUGACGCUGAGGCUCGAAAGCAUGGGUAGCGAACAGGAUUAGAUACCCUGGUAGUCCAUGCCGUAAACGAUGAUUACUAAGUGUUGGAGGGUUUCCGCCCUUCAGUGCUGCAGCUAACGCAUUAAGUAAUCCGCCUGGGGAGUACGACCGCAAGGUUGAAACUCAAAAGAAUUGACGGGGGCCCGCACAAGCGGUGGAGCAUGUGGUUUAAUUCGAAGCUACGCGAAGAACCUUACCAGGUCUUGACAUCUUCUGCCAACCUAAGAGAUUAGGCGUUCCCUUCGGGGACAGAAUGACAGGUGGUGCAUGGUUGUCGUCAGCUCGUGUCGUGAGAUGUUGGGUUAAGUCCCGCAACGAGCGCAACCCUUAUUACUAGUUGCCAGCAUUCAGUUGGGCACUCUAGUGAGACUGCCGGUGACAAACCGGAGGAAGGUGGGGACGACGUCAAAUCAUCAUGCCCCUUAUGACCUGGGCUACACACGUGCUACAAUGGAUGGUACAACGAGUUGCGAAACCGCGAGGUUUAGCUAAUCUCUUAAAACCAUUCUCAGUUCGGACUGUAGGCUGCAACUCGCCUACACGAAGUCGGAAUCGCUAGUAAUCGCGGAUCAGCAUGCCGCGGUGAAUACGUUCCCGGGCCUUGUACACACCGCCCGUCACACCAUGAGAGUUUGUUAAAACCAACCCC